rnacentral:lncRNA from 1 species
CACCAUCUUUUUUCUUUGGAUUAGUGCUACUUCACUCUUACACAUAGUAAAGCUGCGACAGUAUGAUAAACGUCAUUUUUAAGUUAGGAGAAGUACGAAGUUAGCUGAUAUGUCUUUCCUGUUAUUUUUAUUUAGUCACUGUUUACAUUGGACAUUGACAUUUAUUUGUAGAUGUUUUUAGACGAAUAUUCUGUUUGGUUUUGUUUUUUAUUGUUAAUUGUGCAGCGAAAUUGUGAUAGUAAAUUAAAUAUAAAGUUGUUUAUCGCCUACAGAACUGAAUUAUCCCAUAGUAAUUAUCAGUUUGUGUCAAUUUGUUUGUGUGUAAAAAAGAGAAAACACCUUUCCUUGUGUUUGACCGACUUGUAGCAAGGGCUUUCUUGAGAAGCCUGUAAAUUGCUGGAAUAGGACAGACAGGGAUAAAAUCCUCACUUUUUACUGUUCCCAAGGCUAUACAUUUCCCCCAUGCAAUACAUUUAAAUGAAUUUUAUCCAAACAAAGGCAGGAACAUUGGAUAAAAGCAAUAAAGAGAACAGACCACAAAUUAAAAUAUGAGAGUAUGUAGUAAACAUUUUAUAAGUGGAAUAAACACCAGCUAUUUUAAAUGUAGGAAAAGGAGAAACUGCUGGAAUCUAAUUUUACACAAAUGUUUUUGACUAUUGAAGAUUUGGAUAAACAACAGAAGUUACUUUGGGCUAUAGCUAUGUGCAGAUUUAUUUCCUUGUGGAUUACUAUGUUUAUUCUUUUUAACUAUACUUCCUAUAUUGUUUGUGAGAUUAAUAUUAUUAUUUAAUUGAUUAUAUUAAUAUUUUGUAAUAAUAAUCAAUGCUUUGGUUUAACAAAAUAGACAACUUAGAAUAGAACAAUGCUUUAUUGUCAUGGAAAAUUGUACAAUUUAUACACAAAACUUACAGAGUCAUAAAAAACAAUAAUAAACUAAAACAA